ACAGAUCGUUCAGAGUUUGAUCCUGGCUCAGGAUGAACGCUGGCGGCGUGCUUAACACAUGCAAGUGAACGAAGAUGAUUAGAAUGAGAGCUCCGGCAGGAUUUCUUCUCAUCUUAGUGGCGGACGGGUGAGUAACGUGUGGGCAACCUGCCCUAUACUGGGGAAUAAUCACUGGAAACGGUGACUAAUACCGCAUGUCAUUGCGAGAGGGCAUCCUCUUGCAAGAAAAGGAGUAAUUCGGUAUAGGAUGGGCCCGCAUCUGAUUAGCUAGUUGGUGAGAUAACAGCCCACCAAGGCGACGAUCAGUAGCCGACCUGAGAGGGUGAUCGGCCACAUUGGGACUGAGACACGGCCCAA
rnacentral:rRNA from 1 species